rnacentral:rRNA from 1 species
UUAAUCCCGGUUGAUCCUGCCGGACCCGACUGCUAUUGGGGUGAGGCUAAGCCAUGCGAGUCAGCGCUUCUAGCCAUGAUGGAGCGCGGCAUACGGCUCAGUAACAUGUGGUUAAUCUACCCUCAGGACGGGGACACCCUCGGGAAACUGAGGCUGAUCCCAGAUAGAUAAUGGAUCCUGGAAUGGUUCUUUAUCGAAAUGAUAUGGGGCUCAUGCGCCCUAUGUCGCCUGAGGAUGAGACCGCACCCUAUCAGGUAGUUGGUGGGGUAAUGGCCCACCAAGCCUAUAACGGGUACGGGCCCUGAGAGGGGGAGCCCGGAGAUGGGCACUGAGACAAGGGCCCAGGCCCUACGGGGCGCAGCAGGCGCGAAACCUCUGCAAUGCGCGAAAGCGCGACAGGGCCACCCCGAGUGCUAGGCGAAGAGCCUAGCUUUUCCCUAGUGUAGUAAGCUAGGGGAAUAAGCGGGGGGCAAGCCUGGUGUCAGCCGCCGCGGUAAUACCAGCUCCGCGAGUGGUCGGGACGAUUAUUGGGCCUAAAGCGUCCGUAGCCGGUCUAGUAAGUCUCUGGUUAAACCUCAAGGCUUAACCUUGAAAUUGCUGGAGAUACUGUUAGACUAGGGGGCGGGAGAGGUUGAGGGUACUUCGCGGGUAGGGGCGAAAUCCUAUAAUCCGCGAAGGACCACCAGUGGCGAAGGCGCUCAACUGGAACGCGCCCGACGGUGAGGGACGAAAGCCAGGGGAGCAAAGGGGAUUAGAUACCCCCGUAGUCCUGGCUGUAAACGAUGCGGGCUAGGUGUUGGGUUGGCUUUGUGCCAACCCGGUGCCGCAGUGAAGGCGAUAAGCCCGCCGCCUGGGAAGUACGGCUGCAAGGCUGAAACUUAAAGGAAUUGGCGGGGGAGCACCACAAGGGGUGAAGCCUGCGGCUUAAUUGGAGUCAACGCCGGGAAUCUUACCGGGAGCGACAGUAGAAUGAAGGCCAAGCUGACGACUUUGCUAGACAGACUGAGAGGAGGUGCAUGGCCGUCGCCAGUUCGUGCCGUGAGGUGUCCGGUUAAGUCCGGCAACGAACGAGACCCCCAUCCUUUGUUGCUAGCCUGCUUCUACGGAGGUAGGCGCACACGGAGGAGACUGCCAGUGUUAAACUGGAGGAGGGAGGGGGCUACGGCAGGUCAGCAUGCCCCGAAUCUCCCGGGCCGCACGCGGGCUGCAAUGGCGAGGACAGCGGGUUCCGACCCUGAAAGGGGUAGGUAAUCCCUUAAACCUCGCCGUAGUUGGGAUUGAGGGCUGUAACCCGCCCUCAUGAACAUGGAAUCCCUAGUAACCGCACGUCACCAACGCGCGGUGAAUACGUCCCUGCUCCUUGCACACACCGCCCGUCGCUCCACCCGAGUCAAGCUUGGGCGAGGUUCGGACUUAUUGUCUGUAUCGAACCUACGUUUGGCAAGGGGGGAGAAGUCGUAACAAGGUGGCCGCAGGGGAACCUGCGGCCGGAUCACCUCCUAU